GACCGCAGUACCAGCAUCACACAAUAACAGAUUGAUCCCCAAGAAGAACAGUCAAAGUCAAUCAUGAAGUAGAGGACCCAAAAAACAAAAAGGAAAACGGCAAACAAAAACUGACUUAUUUAAAUGUCCAAAGAAGAUCCGCAAAAGGCAAAACAAAUCACGAGGAGAAACGCUGGAAUGAAGGCAGGAUACACAGAAAUAUGGGGAGAAAUGAAACCAAUUAAACCAACGCGCAUGUCUUUGGACUGUGGGAGGAAGCUGGAGUACCCGGAGAGAACCCACGCAUGCACGGGGAGAACAUGCAAACUCCACACAGAGAGGCUCCUGUCCGACGGGGAUUUGAACCAGGAGCCGUCGUACAACAGCACCACUGUGCAGCCCCUCAUUUAAUUCAUUGAUUUAAAAUGUAGUUUUGGUCUUUCUUUCCCUCUCUGUUCAUUCAAGGCACUAACUUCUCUGUCAGAAAACUAACCAACAGGUUUAGCUUCUCCUCCUGUUUUGAUCUCUCUGCAAGACUGUGUGUGUGUGUGUAUGGGGGAGGGGAGGGAAGGGGAGGUGUUACAUGCUACUUAGCACAGUAGCCCAGUGACGCUGUGAGCCUCUUGCCCAAGUCCAUUAGCGAGUCACAAACACAGACAUAUACGGAUUAGGUGUCGUCACACCAAAGGAAUGUGGACAGGGUUUCCUCAUUAUGAGUCGGCUCAAGUUCGGGAAGGAAAUAAGAGGGGGCGUCAGGUGGUGCUUGGCCCGAAAGGUCGAUGAUACGGGAGAAGACCCUCACCCCCCCCCCAACACUCACAGAGCAGCUGUGCAUCAUAAACAAGCCAGUGAGCUGAACCUGGACAGACAGGGGGACAGACUUUAAAUCAUAUCUGUGUUUCUUUAAUCAUGUUGCUUUAGUGAUGUCGCUUGGUUAGCAGAGAGUCAUUUCUGUCCGAGCAGAUUGAUUAACAGAUUGAUUUGCUUUUCCUCUGCAUGAUAUCUGUUUGAGUAUUCAGCAGCAGCUCCUCUCAGUGUCUUUGACCAAGGUGAACCAUGACUAGAUGGGGUUUUUUUUUCUUUCUGUCUGUCUGUGUUGGACUCGGAGCUACAAGGAGUCAGCUUGUAGGUUCAGCUGUGCAAGAGGAAGUAGCUCUGUGUAUGAGGAGACACUGAGCACAUGAGCAGGGACGACGCCUGUAGCAGCAGGUGGAAUUUAGUCUCUCAAACUCUGUGUGUCGGAUGAUAAAGUAAAAUCUACGCUGCACUUUCCACACCGCCAUCCCUGUGAUUUACUGCGUUCACCUUUGGGUGCUAUACAGUCAUUCUGUCAUGGGCUGAACCCCUGCUCAGAAAAUACCUCACGUCUCCUUCUUCUUACAGAAAAAUGACUCCUCUCUUCUCACUCGGCUUGUUCUCUCUAACUCUGAAAUAAAUAACCUUCAUGUUUCUUUUCCAACACACUGUUCUUUCAUACUUUUCAUGGGAUUUCAUAUUUUCGGGUAUUAUGACCCAUGAUCCUUUACUAGUUAAGCCUUGUAAUGUAGCUGAUCUGGGUAUCAGAUCUUAUUUAAUGUUGCAUUCAUUCAAAGUUGCCACACAUAGGGGUAUUAGCUUAUCAAGCCACUAAGCUGCCUGUUUAGACUGUUUUUGUUUUUUGCAACUCCAAGCAAGCAAAUCAAAAAGUUUACGAUUUGUCAUAUGACUUUAUGAGAGGCGUGUCUGUGGAUUUUACAACAGUCUGCAUAAAACAACACCAACGAGGGAAAUUGGAGGAAAGCCAUGCCUCCACGUUUGGAGGCAAAAGUCCAUAAAACGGUUUUUUUAUACAGUCCAGGUUCAAACAGCACAAGAUAACAUGAGAUAACAUAAGAUAGGAUAGAAUAAGAUAAUACUUUAUUGAUCGCCAGAGGGGAAAUUCAAGUGUUGCUGCAGUUAAAAGACAAGAAGAAGAGCAUGGGGGUGUUGGUGGCACGGGGGUUGGUGCGUGCGCCCCAUGUGUGGAGGGUAUGGUCCUCCGGGCGGCCCGGGUUCGAGUCUAACCUGAGGCUCC